rnacentral:rRNA from 1 species
AGGUUAAGCUGAGAAGGCGGAGCCGCAGCGAAAGCGAGUCUGAAUAGGGCGACAGAGUAUGGGGUCGUAGACCCGAAACCAGGUGAUCUACCCAUGUCCAGGGUGAAGGUAAGGUAACACUUACUGGAGGCCCGAACCCACGUACGUUGAAAAGUGCGGGGAUGAGGUGUGGGUAGCGGUGAAAUUCCAAUCGAACCUGGAGAUAGCUGGUUCUCUCCGAAAUAGCUUUAGGGCUAGCCUCAAACGAAAGAAUCUCGGAGGUAGAGCACUGUUUGGACUAGGGGCCCAUCCCGGGUUACCGAAUUCAGACAAACUCCGAAUGCCGAUGAUUUAUGUUUGGGAGUCAGACUGCGGGUGAUAAGAUCCGUAGUCGAGAGGGAAACAGCCCAGACCGCCAGUUAAGGUCCCCAAGUAUCCGUUAAGUGGAAAAGGAUGUGGCGCUGCCCAGACAACCAGGAUGUUGGCUUAGAAGCAGCCACCAUUUAAAGAGUGCGUAAUAGCUCACUGGUCGAGUGGCGCUGCGCCGAAAAUGUACCGGGGCUAAACGGAUCACCGAAACUGCGGAUUGACACCGAUGGUGUCAGUGGUAGGAGAGCGUUCCAAGGGCGUUGAAGCCAGACCGGAAGGACUGGUGGAGCGCUUGGAAGUGAGAAUGCCGGUAUGAGUAGCGAAAGAAGGGUGAGAAUCCCUUCCACCGAAUGCCUAAGGUUUCCUGAGGAAGGCUCGUCCGCUCAGGGUUAGUCGGGACCUAAGUCGAGGCCGAUAGGCGUAGACGAUGGACAACAGGUUGAUAUUCCUGUACCACCUCCCCGCCGCUAUUAGCAAUGGGGGGACGCAGUAGGAUAGGGUGAGCGCGCUGUUGGUCAUGCGCGUCUAAGCAGUGAGGUGUGGAACGAGGCAAAUCCCGUUCCUAUAACACUGGGCUGUGAUGGCAACGGGGAGUAUUCCCCGGAGUCCCUGAUUUCACACUGCCAAGAAAAGCCUCUAGCGAGGCGGGAGGUGCCCGUACCGCAAACCGACACAGGUAGGCGAGGAGAGAAUCCUAAGGUGAUCGAGAGAACUCUCGUUAAGGAACUCGGCAAAAUGACCCCGUAACUUCGGGAGAAGGGGUGCUCUGGUAGGGUGAAUAGCCCGAGAGAGCCGCAGUGAAUAGGCCCAGGCGACUGUUUAGCAAAAACACAGGUCUCUGCAAAACCGUAAGGUGACGUAUAGGGGCUGACGCCUGCCCGGUGCUGGAAGGUUAAGAGGAGAGGUCAGCGCAAGCGAAGCUUUGAAUUGAAGCCCCAGUAAACGGCGGCCGUAACUAUAACGGUCCUAAGGUAGCGAAAUUCCUUGUCGGGUAAGUUCCGACCCGCACGAAAGGCGUAACGAUCUGGGCACUGUCUCAACGAGAGACUCGGUGAAAUUAUAAUAUGCGUGAAGAUGCGCAUUACCCGCGACAGGACGGAAAGACCCCGUGGAGCUUUACUGUAGCCUGAUAUUGAAUUCCGGUGCAGCCUGUACAGGAUAGGUAGGAGCCUUGGAUCCCGGAGCGCCAGCUUCGGAGGAGGCGUCGGUGGGAUACUACCCUGGCUGUAUUGGACUUCUAACCCAUGCCCGUAAUCCGGGCAGGAGACAGUGUCAGGUGGACAGUUUGACUGGGGCGGUCGCCUCCUAAAGUGUAACGGAGGCGCCCAAAGGUUCCCUCAGAAUGGUUGGACAUCAUUCGUAGAGUGCAAAGGCAUAAGGGAGCUUGACUGCGAGACCUACAAGUCGAGCAGGGUCGAAAGACGGGCUUAGUGAUCCGGUGGUUCCGCAUGGAAGGGCCAUCGCUCAACGGAUAAAAGCUACCCCGGGGAUAACAGGCUUAUCUCCCCCAAGAGUCCACAUCGACGGGGAGGUUUGGCACCUCGAUGUCGGCUCAUCGCAUCCUGGGGCUGUAGUCGGUCCCAAGGGUUGGGCUGUUCGCCCAUUAAAGCGGUACGCGAGCUGGGUUCAGAACGUCGUGAGACAGUUCGGUCCCUAUCCGUCGCGGGCGCAGGAAAUUUGAGAGGAGCUGUCCUUAGUACGAGAGGACCGGGAUGGACAUACCGCUGGUGUACCAGUUGUCUUGCCAAAGGCAUCGCUGGGUAGCUAUGUAUGGACGGGAUAAAUGCUGAAAGCAUCUAAGCAUGAAGCCCCCCUCGAGAUGAGAUUUCCCAUUACUUCGGUAAGUAAGAUCCCUCAAAGAUGAUGAGGUGGAUAGGUCUGGGGUGGAAGCGUGGCGACACGUGGAGCUGACAGAUACUAAUCGAUCGAGGACUUAACCUU